AGAGUUUGGAUCCUGGCUCAGGACGAACGCUGGCGGCGUGCCUAACACAUGCAAGUCGAGCGGAGUAGCAGCAAUGCUAUUUAGCGGCGGACGGGUGAGUAACACGUGGGUAACCUGCCCUAUAGAGGGGGAUAGCCAACCGAAAGGUUGAUUAAUACCGCAUAAUCCAGAUGUACCGCAUGGUACAAUUGGCAAAGGAGUAAUCCGCUAUAGGAUGGACCCGCGGCCCAUUAGCUAGUUGGUGAGAUAAAAGCCCACCAAGGCGACGAUGGGUAGCCGACCUGAGAGGGUGAUCGGCCACAUUGGAACUGAGACACGGUCCAGACUCCUACGGGAGGCAGCAGUGGGGAAUAUUGCGCAAUGGGGGAAACCCUGACGCAGCAACGCCGCGUGAGUGAAGAAGGCCUUCGGGUUGUAAAGCUCUGUCUUCGCUGACGAAGAAUGACGGUAAGCGAGGAGGAAGCCACGGCUAACUACGUGCCAGCCGCCGCGGUAAUAC
rnacentral:rRNA from 2 species